rnacentral:rRNA from 1 species
CCUACGGUGAGCAGCAGUGGGGAAUAUUGGGCAAUGGUCGGGAGACUGAACCAGCCAAGCCGCGUGAGGGAUGAAGGUACAGAGUAUCGUACACCUCUUUUGUCAGGGAACAAAGGCGGGGACGUGUCCCCGGAUGAGUGUACCUGAAGAAAAAGCAUCGGCUAACUCCGUGCCAGCAGCCGCGGUAAUACGGAGGAUUCGAGCGUUAUCCGGUUUUCUUGGGUUUAAAGGGUGCGCAGGCGGUCUGUUUAGUCAGCGGUCAAAGCCCGGGGCUCAACCCCGGCCCGCCGUUGAAACUGGCAGUCGCGAGUUGGAGAGAAGUAUGCGGAAUGCGCGGUGUAGCGGUGAAAUGCAUAGAUAUCGCGCAGAACUCCGAUUGCGAAGGCAGCAUGCCGGCUCCACACUGACGCUGAGGCACGAAAGCGUGGGUAUCGAACAGGAUUAGAUACCCCAGUAGUC